rnacentral:rRNA from 1 species
AUUGAACGCUGGCGGCAGGCCUAACACAUGCAAGUCGAACGGCAGCACAGAAGAGCUUGCUCUUUGGGUGGCGAGUGGCGGACGGGUGAGUAACACGUAGGAAUCUACCCAGUAGUGGGGGAUAACCUGGGGAAACCCAGGCUAAUACCGCAUACGCCCUGAGGGGGAAAGCGGGGGAUCUUCGGACCUCGCGCUAUUGGAUGAGCCUGCGUCGGAUUAGCUAGUUGGUGGGGUAAGGGCCCACCAAGGCGACGAUCCGUAGCUGGUCUGAGAGGAUGACCAGUCACACCGGAACUGAGACACGGUCCGGACUCCUACGGGAGGCAGCAGUGGGGAAUAUUGGACAAUGGGCGCAAGCCUGAUCCAGCCAUGCCGCGUGGGU